rnacentral:rRNA from 1 species
UGAGCAACCUGCCCUUGACUCUGGGAUAACAGUUGGAAACAGCUGCUAAUACCGGAUACGACCCCGGAUGACAUCGUCCGGGGUGGAAAGCGCUUUAGCGGUCAAGGAUGGGCUCGCGGCCUAUCAGCUUGUUGGUGAGGUAACGGCUCACCAAGGCUUCGACGGGUAGCCGGCCUGGA